rnacentral:tRNA from 1 species
AAGAUGCUAGUAAAACAGAUUAUUACAUGGCCUUGUCAAGGCUAAAUUGUGGGUUUGAUUCCCGCGCAUCUUA